CCCAUUGAUCCCUUACCAGGUGCCAGCUUUACUAAAUGUUUUACAUACAUUUGUUUUUCUCUCAAAGCUGGCUGGGAUCUUAGUCAUUAUACUGAACUCCUCUCCUGUACACAGUAGUCCUUCCCUUAUCCAGAGUUAUGUGUUCCGGGACCUUCAGUGGAUGCCUGAAACUGUGGGGUAUCCUAGGUAUGCUAUGUUUUCCCUACGUGUACAUACCUACGAUAAGGCUUAAUUUAUAAAUGAGGUACAGGAAGAGCAUAUCUGAAUUGCCAGCAUCACUACUGCUGUACUUUGGGGCCACUAUUAAAUAAAAUAAGGGUGACUUGAACACAAGCACACAAGUACAGCAACGGUGGAUCUGAUAAGCGAGCAGGCUCCUGAGUAACAGGCGGGUUUCCUAGGGUAAAUCAGAACCCUGAUUAUAAACGAUCAGGUCCCUGGAGCAGCAGCAAGAGAAUCUUCUUUGACAUCACUGAAGGGUGCAGAUUCCUGGACUCUCUGCGGGGGACGUGGGAAUGAUCCCUGGUCCGAGAAGAUUCCACAUGCUGCAGGAGAACUAAGCCUGUGGGUCACUACCAAAGUCUGCAUUACUUCAACGAGAAGCCACUGCAG